AGUGAACGCUGGCGGCGUGCCUAAUACAUGCAAGUCGAACGAAGUGACUCGCGGAUGAGUAAUUUAUAGUUAAUCUGCCUUCCACAGAGGAACGACAAUUGGAAACGACUGCUAAUACCUCAUAGUGUAGGAUGAGUCUAUAUCGUAUCAGCUAGUUGGUAAGGUAAUGGCUUACCAAGGCUAUGACUCGUAACUGGUCUGAGAGGAUGAUCAGUCACAUUGGAACUGAGACACGGUCGAAACUCCUACGGGAGGCAGCAGUAAGGAAUAGUGCGCAACGGGGGAAACCAUGACGCCGCUACGGCUCGUAGAGGAUGAUAAUCUUCGGAGAGUAAACUCUUGUUAUUAGGAAAGCGGUACCGGAUGAAUAAGCAACGGCUAACUCCGUGCCAGCAGCCGCGGUAAUAC
rnacentral:rRNA from 1 species